rnacentral:siRNA from 1 species
AUUGUCCUGUACGAAGCGUGUGAA